rnacentral:lncRNA from 1 species
AAGAUAUUCAGCAUAGUGCACGCCUAUGCUGGCAUAAUGGAAAAAUAAUCAAAGCAAUAAAAAUUCAGAUUAAAAAAAAUGUUUACACAGCCAAUAGUGAAAAUAAUAUUUUUAAGCCUGAAUGCUAACUCAACAAGAAGGCUUCUACUCAAUCACCUGAUGCUCCUAAGGAAAUUUAGGUCUCAUCAUACUAUAGUGAUAUAUACCAUAUAUAUACCAUAUAAAAAUAGAAAAUAGGGCUGUAAAUAGACCUUUGGAGGUCAAGUUGUCCGCUGCUUUGCCUGAAGGCAGGAUCAAUGAUUCCUCACAGAUGUUUGUCUAAACCAGUCUCCAUGAAAUGAGUACUAGCAACUUUUUUUAUCUCAUCAGUUCUUAACUCUAGCAAUUGCCUGGAAGUCAAUAAGAUGACUACUCGUGUCUAGCCCAAGCUCCUUUCAUCACUAUGUGUUUUCUCAUGUGUUUCCUUAAUAUGAAUGUGACAUUUGCCUCCUUCCAGCAGUGGCAUUUAAGCUUAGGAACUAUGACUCCUCACUUUACUAAUCAGUAAAUAAAAAUCUUAUUGUAGGUGCUAAGGAAUGCAUAAACACUCUAGCUAUAGGAGAAAAGGACAUUCAGAUGUAGGGAAGGUUAUGAUCUUAUGUCAGUGUGCUCCAAAACCACCUGAGUACCUGAGGCAAACAAUUGAAUAUUUGGUCAAACUACUGCCAUAUUCUUCCUUCAAGUCACUAUGCUAUGAAGAGGCAUGCACCGUGCAUAGAACAGAGCCAUCUGUACCCUUUCAGAUGAUUGUGACAGCAAGUCUUUGGACUUCUGCUGGCAUGGAAUCCUACAUACGUGUUACUGACACAUAA